rnacentral:rRNA from 1 species
UACGAAGGGGGCUAGCGUUGCUCGGAAUCACUGGGCGUAAAGCGCACGUAGGCGGAUUGUUAAGUCAGGGGUGAAAUCCUGGAGCUCAACUCCAGAACUGCCUUUGAUACUGGCGAUCUUGAGUCCGGGAGAGGUGAGUGGAACUGCGAGUGUAGAGGUGAAAUUCGUAGAUAUUCGCAAGAACACCAGUGGCGAAGGCGGCUCACUGGCCCGGUACUGACGCUGAGGUGCGAAAGUGUGGGGAGCAAACAGG